GGGUAGUUGACCGAGAGGUUGAAGGUAGCGGUUUGCUAAACCGUAGGUCUGCGGAUCCACACGUUCGAAUCGUGUACUACCCGCCA
rnacentral:tRNA from 1 species